ACACCUGUUUUCUUGUGUAGGUGUUAUUAAAACCAAUGCCACUGCAGAGAAAACAGAAGAAGAAGAGAAAGAGGACAGAGCUGCCCAGUCCUUACUCAACAAGCUGAUCAGAAGCAACCUUGUGGAUAACACAAACCAGGUGGAAGUCCUGCAGCGGGACCCAAACUCCCCGCUCUACUCAGUGAAGUCCUUUGAGGAGCUUCGGCUGAAACCACAGCUUCUCCAGGGAGUCUAUGCCAUGGGCUUCAAUCGACCAUCCAAGAUACAAGAGAACGCAUUACCCAUGAUGCUUGCUGAGCCCCCACAGAACCUGAUUGCCCAGUCUCAGUCAG